rnacentral:rRNA from 1 species
UACGUAGGGUGCGAGCGUUAAUCGGAAUUACUGAGCGUAAAGCGUGCGCAGGCGGUUUUGUAAGCCAGAUGUGAAAUCCCCGGGCUUAACCUGGGAAUGGCAUUUGGGACUGCAAGGCUUGAGUGCGGCAGAGGAGACUGGAAUUCCUGGUGUAGCAGUGAAAUGCGUAGAUAUCAGGAGGAACACCGAUGGCGAAGGCAGGUCUCUGGGCUGACACUGACGCUCAUGCACGAAAGCGUGGGGAGCAAACAGG